UCUCUGCUUUGAUGAAAGCU
rnacentral:snRNA from 1 species